rnacentral:rRNA from 1 species
GAGUUUGAUCCUGGCUCAGAUUGAACGCUGGCGGCAGGCCUAACACAUGCAAGUCGAGCGGAUGACGGGAGCUUGCUCCUUGAUUCAGCGGCGGACGGGUGAGUAAUGCCUAGGAAUCUGCCUGGUAGUGGGGGACAACGUUUCGAAAGGAACGCUAAUACCGCAUACGUCCUACGGGAGAAAGCAGGGGACCUUCGGGCCUUGCGCUAUCAGAUGAGCCUAGGUCGGAUUAGCUAGUUGGUGGGGUAAUGGCUCACCAAGGCGACGAUCCGUAACUGGUCUGAGAGGAUGAUCAGUCACACUGGAACUGAGACACGGUCCAGACUCCUACGGGAGGCAGCAGUGGGGAAUUUUGGACAAUGGGGGCAACCCUGAUCCAGCCAUGCCGCGUGAGUGAAGAA